GAAUGCUAGAGGGAAAAGACCAGGCUUUCCAGGGAUAUCCACUGAACAUGGCAUAACAAGAUGCACUAAGACUAGGCACAAACCUCAUAUCCAAACUUGGCUGGACACGGCAACCCAGUAGGAGGUAAAGAGUCCUAUGAGCAGGCAAAAGAGUCAGAGACACCUCCACUUGCAUUUUUGGAGACAUGGAGAAUUUGGAAAGAAAAAA